rnacentral:rRNA from 1 species
AUACGGGGGGGACAAGCGUUGUUCGGAUUCACUGGGCGUAAAGGGUGCGCAGGCGGGCCACCAAGUCGGGUGUGAAAACUGGCGGCUCAACCGCCAGCCGGCACUCGAUACUGGUGGUCUUGAGUACGGGAGAGGAGAGUGGAAUUCCAGGUGUAGCGGUGAAAUGCGUAGAUAUCUGGAAGAAAACCGGUGGCGAAGGCGGCUCUCUGGCCCGAUACUGACGCUCAGGCACGAAGGCUUGGGGAGCAAACAGGAUUAGAUACCCUAGUAGUCC